UACGUGGGACGCAAGCGUUGUCCGGAAUUAUUGGGCGUAAAGAGCUCGUAGGCGGCUUGUCACGUCGGGUGUGAAAGCCCGGGGCUUAACCCCGGGUCUGCAUUCGAUACGGGCUAGCUAGAGUGUGGUAGGGGAGAUCGGAAUUCCUGGUGUAGCGGUGAAAUGCGCAGAUAUCAGGAGGAACACCGGUGGCGAAGGCGGAUCUCUGGGCCAUUACUGACGCUGAGGAGCGAAAGCGUGGGGAGCGAACAGG
rnacentral:rRNA from 1 species